rnacentral:rRNA from 1 species
CCUACGGGCGGCAGCAGUGGGGAAUAUUGGGCAAUGGGCGCAAGCCUGACCCAGCAAUGCCGCGUGAAGGAAGAAGGCUUUCGGGUUGUAAAAUUCUUUGACAGGGGAAGAGCAGAAGACGGUACCCUGAAAACAAGCCACGGCUAAUUACGUGCCAGCAGCCGCGGUAAUACGUAGGUGGCAAGCGUUGUCCGGAUUUACUGGGUGUAAAGGGCGUGUAGCCGGGAAGGCAAGUCAGAUGUGAAAUCUGGAGGCUCAACCUCCAAAUUGCAUUUGAAACUGUUUUUCUUGAGUACUGGAGAGGCAGACGGAAUUCCUUGUGUAGCGGUGAAAUGCGUAGAGAUAAGGAGGAACACCAGUGGCGAAGGCGGUCUGCUGGACAGCAACUGACGGUGAGGCGCGAAAGCGUGGGGAGCAAACAGGAUUAGAUACCCUAGUAGUC